rnacentral:lncRNA from 1 species
GUUCCGUGGUUCUAGCACGGUCACUCAACUGUCAUAUUCGGCUUAUUUAUCUGAUUUUAGUACAUAUUAAACAUAUGUGAAAAUUUUAAUCCCUUUAUCGCUUUUAUUAUUCAUUAUUUUAAAGAGAAUUGCAACGUCGUGAAAAUGCGGCUCGAAUCACGUCGCACAAUGUACCCGUGGUUGUUAACACAUCUCGACUCCGUUGAAAUUUAGCUUUGGGUCACAUAAAUGCGUAACCGAGUUUAGGAAGGUAAAGUUAUUCAAAGCGCGUGCCUAAAGAGACUAAUGUAUUGUUAUUUUUUGAGAAAAGGUUGUGAAGU